UUUCCGUAGGUGAACCUGCGGAAGGAGCAUUAUUGUAUAACCGAGGUGCGAGGGCUGUCGCUGACCCGAAAGGUCGUGCACGCCCGAGUCCCCUCACACACAUCCAUCUCACCCCUAUGUGCACCACCGCGUGGGUCCCCCUUUGGCUUGUUCGGAGGGGGGCUUACGUUUUCACACAAACUUUGUAUGCAGUGUAGAAUGUAUUUUUUGUUUUUGCGAUCACGCAAUCAAUACAACUUUCAACAACGGAUCUCUUGGCUCUC
rnacentral:misc_RNA from 1 species